UGCUGUGACUCCCUUUACAAUUAUAUUUCUCACUGCCUUGGUAAAGGGUCUUUUGGACUCUUCUUGGAUGUAGUUUAGCGGGUAGAAAUCUUGGCCCUAUGUCUACAGGAGAAAAAAAGGUACUCAUUGAAGCAUUCUGCUCCCUUAUGCAGACCUUGAGCUGGGAAUUCAAAGCCCCGACUUCACUGUUUUCUUUCCCUAAGUUCUCUAUUUUACUUGGAAGCAACUAACCAAUCCCAUUAUGUUCCUUAUUUCUACCAAAAUAUUCUAAGGUACCACUACUUGAUCCCCCAAACCUCUGCCUUCUAUAGGCUGGUGAUUCCAGAUGCCUGCAGGUGAUCAGAUAUCUAAGUAACCCUCUUGCCACCAAAUACCACACACACUUCAGUUACUCUUUCAAAAAAAAUUAUCAAGCAACUGCUCUGUGCCAGAGACUCUUCUAGUCCUGAAGAUACAGUGAUAAAUAAGAUAGAGACAGUUCCUGCUGCCAUUCAGCUUGGUUCUAGUGAGAAAGACAGAUAUAUUAAAAAAUAACUUGACAUUACAUUUUCAAGAAUUUAAGUACUUUAUUGGAAAAUAUAACUGUGUAAGAAGACAGAUAUUGACAAGGACACUUAGUUCUUGUAGCGAGGAAGUAUAGACUUAACUCUUAUUAGUAAAAGAGUGUUUAAGAAUAAAAAUAUAUCAAUACCCCUAACUUUGGAGACAAACUGAAGUACUGAAUGUACUUCUAUUUUUGAUUUUUCCCUUAGCAUGGUGAGUUGUUUGGGAAAUGAUUCAAUAGUUAUUUGUAGUUUCUAAAUUCUCAGCAGCAGUUGCCUCCUGAUAUGUGUCACUAUAUAUUCUGAGUUGACAUCUGUUAUCUGAAUCACCAAAAUAGUGCCUUGUUUUAAAAUUUAUCCACUAUUGGCUUAUGUUUUAUCUUACUCUAGGCCAUGUUAUCACUACAUGUGACAUCUCUGUAUAUGUGUUUGUGAAACUGGGAUAAAGUUGGCAAAACUUGAGAUAGAGGAAACUAUCUAUGAAACAUGUUUUGCAUUAGUAGAACAGGAGGCAUAAGCACAUUUGGAAUAGAAAGAACAGAGAAGGCGAUACUGGAGAAAUAGGAUCUCACAAAGGAAAGUAGAAUGCACGUAGAGAACUUAAAUGCAAUUUAGGCAAUAACCUAUGCAAUUUGGACAACUAUAGACCUACUAUGGCUUAUGGUUUCUACCAACUAGACUUAAGCUUCUUUUGGAAUAAAGCCUUUGCCUCAUGGAGGAAGUCAGUUAAUGUUUGUUGAUUGUGAUUUUGAUGAUGACAUUCAUGAUGAUAUUCUAUUUGGGGAAUGUUUUUCAAAGUGGGGCUUUGACCUGACAAACUGUUAUACCGAUAGAAAAAUCAACAUUCUCUCACUGACACCUUAGGUAUUUGACAGAUAUCUGAAAGAAAAAUAAUUUGAUAUGACCAAGCAAUAGUGAAGUGUAGGAUAUUGAUCUCCAGAGAUUUGUGAGACUAAAAAUUGUGCAAACGAAUAAAAAAAAAUCAUAGUCUAGAUUAUCCCAAUGUUGAACAAUAUACUUAUGUUUACACAUAAUGUUGGAAAAGUCAUCAGUGCAAUUUCUACAAUGCACUGAUGAUAAUGAUAAUGAAAUUUUAGUGACAAUGUGAUAAUGAAAUUUUAGAAGAAAUUAUAAUUAGUUUUUCAUCUCUCUUAAAUGGAUGUGUUGUUUUUUCUGUCCUCUUCCUUCUCCAUUUAUGCCUGUUCUGGUUCCUUGUUGACUUGGGGAAAUAUACAUGUGGGUAAUAAGGGUGAACAUUUCCGCAGAAACAAAGCAGGUCUACUAUGCUUCAGCAGGCUUAACUCUCAUUUGUUUAAUGAGGGUUUGGAAAGAUGGGGGGGUUUCCUACAUAUAGUCAAUGCAUACUUAAGAACACCUACUAUGUGCUGGCUUCAUUUUAGUCUCUAGGAACUGGGAGACAUAUUGAGCCAUCUGUAUCUACAUAUAUUAAAAUUGUUGUACCGAAGAGUAUUUCAAGGUCUUCUAUCUGUUUUCUUUUGGAUAGAAGCAGUCAGUGCAAACCAGCAUGGUGAAUGAGCUUGAUUGUAUUUAAGAGAAAAAAUUCUCACUUUUGGGGUUUUUGCUACCAAUUUUAAGAAUGGGGAGCUGUUUUCAGAACUAAAAGUUUGCCAGCGCACUAAUAAGAUGUAAAAUGAAGAAAAAUUAAAAAAUAGCUCUAUGGUUUCAAAGAAUGUGGAGCUACUUUGGCUUCAUCGGCAGAGUAAGUCUGUUAAUAACCCCGAAGCUCUCCCCUUGUUGAAAUAACACAAAUUAGCGUUUAACCUGGGAGGAAGACACGUGAAGUUAUUUAACAUUUACAUAAAAUUAUGGAGUAAACUCCAAACAGGUCGCCUCCAAAAUGUAUAAUUACACUCAGCAGUCCUGUCAGCAUACAUAGAAACAAUUUUAUUUCCAAUCAUCUUCUGCUUUUAUUCACUCAGGAAUGUAUCAUUAAAAUUUCCACAGAACAAUGAACCUUAAUAGGCGCUAAUGCAAUUGUGAAUUAUGGUAAUUGUUACCUAAAUUAAUCUCUGUACUUUCCAUUCCUUAUUGCCCUGUGCAUAAGGAGUGUGAAAAAGAUAAUGUUGAAACUGACAUUUGUAUAAAUGGUAUAAAAAUUUAUCUUAUUUAAUAAAAAUUUAAUAUAAGAACUUGCUACUUUGUAAAGUAGUUUACUCAGAAAAAAAUGUUAGAUUUGUUGCAAGUUGGGUUUAUAAAAUCUUUAAUUUGUGAAAUUUGGGAGGGAAACUGGCAGUUGACUCAUUAUGGUUAUCUUUGGGGUAUGUGUAUGCACCGAGGUAUCGGGAUGGUACAUGUAUGUUCCUCCGUGCACAUAUUGCCAGGGCAGUGUAUGCAUUCGUACCCUUAUCUGUGUGCCUGGCCUCUUUCUGUGUGUUUAUGUUUACUCAUUUACGUAAACUACCCUCUUGGUGUAAUAAAAUCCACCAUUAUGUGUUGAAUUGUGUUCCUCUCAAAUUCAUAUGCUGAAGUCUCCUAGUUCUUCAGAAUGUGACCAUAUUUGAAGAUAGGACCUUUAAAGAGGUGAUUAAGUUAAAAUUAGGCCGUAUGUUUGGGCUCUAAUCCAGUGUGACUGGUGUCCAUCUAAGAAGAAAUUAGGACAGAGACAUAGAGGGAAGACCAUUGGAAGACACAGGGAUAAGAUGGCUGUCUACAAGCCAAGGAGAGAGGCUCCUGAAGAAACCGGCCCUGCCAAUACCAUCUUGUCAGAUAUAUGGCCUCCAGAACUGUGGGAAAAUAAAUUUCUGUUGUUUAAGCCACACA
rnacentral:lncRNA from 1 species